rnacentral:rRNA from 1 species
AGCGGCAGCGAGGGGUGCUUGCACCCUGUCGGCGAGCGGCGAACGGCUGAGUAACGCGUAGGAAUUUGCCCCAAAGUGAGGAAUAACUGCCCGAAAGGGUAGCUAAUGCCGCAUAUGGUCUUCGGAUUAAAGGAUUUAUCCGCUUUGGGAGAAGCCUGCGUUGGAUUAGGUUGUUGGUAGGGUAAUGGCCUACCAAGCCGACGAUCCAUAGCUGGUCUGAGAGGAUGAUCAGCCAGACUGGAACUGAGACACGGUCCAGACUCCUACGGGAGGCAGCAGUGAGGAAUCUUCCACAAUGGGCGAAAGCCUGAUGGAGCAACGCCGCGUGAAGGAUGAAGGCCUUCGGGUUGUAAACUUCUUUUAUGAGUGAAGAAUAUGACGGUAACUCAUGAAUAAGCACCGGCUAACUACGUGCCAGCAGCCGCGGUCAUACGUAGGGUGCAAGCAUUAUCCGGAGUGACUGGGCGUAAAGAGUUGCGUAGGCGGUUUAAUAAGUGAAUAGUGAAACCUGGUGGCUCAACCAUACAGACUAUUAUUCAAACUGUUAAACUCGAGAAUGGUAGAGGUAACUGGAAUUUCUUGUGUAGGAGUGAAAUCCGUAGAUAUAAGAAGGAACACCAAUGGCGUAGGCAGGUUACUGGGCCAUUUCUGACGCUAAGGCACGAAAGCGUGGGGAGCGAACCGGAUUAGAUACCCGGGUAGUCCACGCCGUAAACGAUGGAUACUAGCUGUUGGAGGUAUCGACCCCUUCAGUAGCGAAGCUAACGCGUUAAGUAUCCCGCCUGUGGAGUACGGCCGC